rnacentral:lncRNA from 1 species
UUUUUUUUUUUUUGUAUUGCAGUCACCGUCGAGUACAAACUUAAUUUCAACUUAAUAAGGAGCAGAGAAUCAAAACUAGAGAAUGAAAAACUUGUAAACUAAUAUAAUCAUUAAGACAAAAAAAAAAAGUACCAUAGCCAUUUCCAGAAGCGACAUGACCGGCGUUUCUUUCGAUUCCUGUUAGAAAGAGAGAAAACUGAUUUACUCCACGCAAGGGGCGCUAAACUUUACAAAAAAUUGUUGAAGUUGUUCUUACGUAGGUAUUAAGGGAUCUGGGUUUGCAACCACAAAAUCAGUAAUCCUGCAAAAUAGUCGAAUUCAAUCCACAGUCAGUUUACUCACACUACAUGUACAGAGACUAGAUUUAACAAAAUUAGUAGGUUUUCAGUUUGAAUUCUUCGAGUUCAAAUUUUGAGAACUAGAUGCUACGAAAGGUAACAGAAAGAGUGACUUACUCUUUGCAGCAUCUCGAAGCAGGUUGAAGCCGUUCAACAGAUUUCAGUUCGUCCUGCAAACAAAUAAGGUAAUUGUUUAACUUCCACAUAAACCAAAUAAGAAGAAUCAAGUAAACAGCAUUGAUAUAUUAAGUGAAUAUCUUUUCUGUUUGCAAACUCUAUGACAUGAUUGAUUAAAAGGGGCAUUUCGGCUGCGGAUACGCAGGACUUAAAUUAUGAAAACUACCUUGGUUUGUUUACGAUGGAAAUUUUUUGUUUACGAUGGAAAAUUCAAUUAUUCAGUGGAAAGUUACCACAUUAGCAUUGAAAGAUGAGAGAUGAACCGUUUUGAGCUCAAGUUGGAAACGUCUUAAAUUUCUCUAAUGCAUCGGAGUUAAUCUAAUCCGGUUAAGGUUACAUGGAUUAUAUAUGCACACAAAGACCGCCUUAUUGAUUGGUCAACGAACUUCUUUGUUAUUAUUGGCUGAUCUGUUAAACUUAAUUGGGUUACCGAAUGGGCCGGAUCCCUUUCCACCUAAUCCGCCUAGUCUAGGAUCCAGACCGUUGAAAUUUGAUCCGACGGCUACAAACAGGGCCCCUUUAAAAUGAUAAUAAUUGUAGCCGUUUGAUCAAAUUUCAAUGGCCUGGAUCCUAGACCAGGUGGAUUAGGUGGAAAGGGAUCCGGAGAGGAUGCCUUUCCUACCGAAUGAAGUCAGUGAAAAUCUGCCAAAGACUUUUGGGUGCACAAAGUGACAGGAGAACUGAAUACCACCCAUUGUGGAACUAAAACUCAAUUAUGAAACUAAUUCUAAAUCACUAUCACUAAUUCAGGUUGGAUCAGCCGGUGAAGAUUAUACAAAAACGGUGAGAAUAGUUCCCGGAGUUCCUCCUCCACGCCGGUGGGGUUUGUGCUGCUAAACGAAGUUAAUUACUGUCACCUGCAUAAUAUAACUGACCAACACUAUCUAUACCAAGCAAACAGAGGAGUAGUACUCAUUGGAUCGACUACAUUAAGUUCCGAAACUUUCGAGUUAAUUAAUCCCUUGAAAAUUAAAACAAAACAACACCGAAAUGGUUUGUAGUAAAUUAGGAUCACUCUCAACCAAAUGAUUUUAACUCGAUCAUUUCCAUGUUAAUUAACUUUAACCUAAGUGUUAAAGCAGGAUAUUGUCUAGCUUUAUGGGCACAUCCUCAAGGGAAGAUUAUCUUAAUCAUGGUUUUAUCGUACACAAAAACGAAAGUCCUACCUUUUGACUUUUCACAGAAUUAAGCCAAUGAGAUUAAAGAAAAAGUUUAGCUUUUCCAGUCCAAAUGGAGAAAAGAACUGCUUUUUAAUCCAAGAAUGAUUUGAAAAAACGAAUCAUUUAACAAAGACAGAAAGGGCAUCAAAAUCUUUAAUUAACAUUUUAACCCAAAUGAUAAUUAUAUUCAAAGUUUUAAUUUUUCAACCAAAAGAGGUAAAUUAAUUAGUAAAAGUAAAAGAAAAUUGAAAAAUCAGAGUUACCUCAAGAAAACCAAUCUCCCUCUCAAGCAUCUGAACCCUGGCAGUUUCUCUGCGCUUCCCAUACAAAUCAGGAUACUGCGGCGGCGACUUUGGGUGUGGCGGUGGCAGUGACGGCACAGAAGCAGAGCAACCAGAAGGAGCUGCCAUUUCAAAUAGUAACCAAAACCCAGUUGCUAAAUCACCUAAAACUCAGACCCCAAAUGAAGAAAACGACAGCGGAGAUUACAGAGAGAAAAGCUGUAACAGUAAUGCUUCUGAUAGAAGCACUGCAGUUGCAGCGAUUAUUAAUUACAAAAAAGAAAAGGAAAAAAAGCUCAUCAAUCAAAAGCACUCGGCAGAAAAGCACUUAUGAAGCGGCAAAGCAAAUGAUGGUAGGUGUAGAAAUGAAACGGUAGAAAGCAGUAACUAGGGUCUCUGACAAGGAUGAAAAUUACGACCCAGAACCACAAAAGAUAAAAAGAGAAGUUGUACAGCGAAUAAAUGCUCUGCAAACAGAAGGGGAUUAGUGGGGAAGUUUAAAGAUUUAAACUUUAUCAAACGCAAUUUAAAAGGGUAGUAGUAUUAAUUAGAAUUACAAAAAGGGGCAGCCAUUUAUUCAAAAUUCGCACAACUCACAGGGCUCGAUGGAGUGAAAAUGAAUGAUUGUUUUUCAAAAAAGAAAGAUGGGUUUUUGGUUUUCUUCCUUCUCGAGGCGCAUCCAACUUGGGCUUUGUUUGCAUGUUUUGGUAAUUGCAGAGACAGUUAAUGAACCCAAUUAAUCAAUUAAUUAAACCAAUAGUAAUGGUAAUGGUAAUGGUAAUAGUAAAGACGGCUGUGCAAAAAAAGCCUGCAACUGCCAGUGUCCGUACGAUCACAUUUGGCAAAUAUUUUGAGUGAGAUUUUUGGGGUCGAAUUUGUAGAAAAACAACUUAAACAAGUAAAAACUAAAGCUUUUUCUGUGUGUUUUUAAAUAAAUAAAUCUGUUGAAUUUGUAUUAUUUUAAGUUUGAAGAGGUGAGUGAGCUGCAGGAUUUGCAGAGGAAGAAGCGAAACGCACGAUGGGGAAGUAUCUCAGACAGCACGUGACCGCUGCGUAGGAAAUAGAAAAAAGGGGGGAAAUCACAAGUGUUCGGCCAAAACAGAAUUGGACAAAUCAAGCCCUGAUUUUGAGAAUAACUAACCAUCUGGAUAAAAAUUCGUGUCGAUUUUACCUUUACCUUGUACCACAGUAAUUGGAGGACUUCUAUGGUACAUGUAUAUUAUCGCGACGUUAUGAGCCAAAAAUUUAACCUUAUGUGGAUAGGAACUUAUAUACGUUGUUGUACAAUUAACGUGAAACACUAUCUAUAGUAACAAUUUGUUCGUGUCAUGAAAGUUGCGCCAUCAACUUUUAUCUUAAUUUUUAGGUAAAGUUACACUUUUAAUCCCUGUAAUUAGAUUAGUCUUUCACUUAGUGUUUGAAGUUUCAAUAUUGGCACAGUUAAUUUACUUCUGUAAAUUUUUUAGUUGCAAUCAUUAACUUCGUUUACUUGAAGAAGAAAUAUUUGGUGUGGCAAUACGUGCAUCGUCGACAUUUUGAGUCAUCUAACUUUUUAAACACGUAUUAAUUUGCCUAAAACAACAAUUCAUAUUCAUAAACAUGCCUAAAACGACAAUCUAGUCCAUAAAAGACCAUGAACGCUCUGAUUAAUUCAUGUGAUAUCCCCACUUUUCACUUAUUGAUUUGUGUGCACGUGAGUAACGCUUUCUUUUAAAGUCAACACACUUGAAAUGUCUAAAUUGCUAAUACACAUUGCUGCCACAUUAGAUUUCAUUCUUUAAUUACCAAGCUAGCGAUUUUUGAAUAAUUGCAAAAACAAACAAACUACAUAGUUACACUUUUCAAAAUCAAAACUAUAUGGACCAAAAUGCAGAGAGUAAAUUAUCUGGACAUAUAAACUAACACAACAUAUUCAAAACAAAAAAAAAAUUCUAGUGAAAAACUUAUAGGUUAUUUUCCAUGAAAGGAUUAAGGAAGAAAGUUGGAUAGAGAAAUUUGAGGGAAGGGUGAAAAUUUUGGGUGAAGUAGAUUUGAAAUGGAGGAGAAAAGCAAAAUACGAAUGCUGAAAAAAAAAAUUGACCAAAACAAUGUCGUUUUGAAUCUUGAUAAGGGUUUAAACGAGAUAAAUAAAAAAACUCAAUUCUUCUUCCAUGCACUCACGUUGCGGCUAUUGUCAAAGGCAUCCCUACUCGUUUAUACUCUCCGAUACAAGUCGUCCCAAAUAGGGUGAUAUGGCCACAUUUCUAUUGAAAAAUUGUCUCAACAAGUAUGUCCAAACCAAAUUAUUGAGAUGAAAGUUUGUCAAAUGGGUGAUCUCAUUGGCCUUCAACUUUGGGGGCCACCUUUUUACUGCAUCUUAUACAAAAAUGACAGUGAUAAUAGUCCUUUUACUUACAAGUUCCUAUUUAGAGAGUUUUUUUUAUAAAAUAGUAUUAUUCACACAUUUAUUUUUAUUUCUCAUACAUCUUUUUAAUUUGACGCUGUCCCCUCUCCUAAUUUUGCCAGGAUGACCAGUCAGAGAAAUUUAAUCUCAAUUAACCCAUGUCACGAUUGUAUUACACUGUACCUUUUAUUGGGCUUCAAUUAUCCAGCUAUAUUCUCAGUAAAAAUGGUCCAUAAUCUCAGUUACAGCUGGCCCAUUACUUACAUUUGUUUCAAAUUAUACAUGAAAAUAUAUAGUCCCACACUUCAAUUCAUGUGACUUUUGACUUUGAAUUUCUAUGCCUCUCUUAAGUACAAUAAUUUGGAGUCACUUAAUAUUACAAUCUAGUGAUAUUUCUCUUUAUUUAUAAGUGAAAUCCUCUUCACUUGUAAGUGAGACGUCUUAGAUCCGAUUCUCGCCAAAUGCGAAUUUGAAUCAUAUUAUUGCUAGUUCAUUGUGAGGCUUAACUCAUUCCCUCACCCCAUGGGUGUAGAUAAUAUCUUUUGUUAAAAAAAAAGUUACAAUAAUUUGCCAAUUUGGUAUCCAAAGCUUGACUUUGUUGUUCCAAAAAUGCAUAUGCAAGUCAUGACAAAUGCUGAGGAGACUCUCUCAAGUAAAACUCUGCAUAGACUCUCCGCCACUUCAUGUUUUUGGCACAAUAUUUUAUAAUGUUGGCAUAAAAAUUGUACCACAAAUAUGAAAUGGUAAAGAGUCUAUAAAAAAUCACUUUUGAGAGAAUCUUCUUAAUAUUUCCAAUAAAUCAUUGUUGUUCACACUCACUGACACACCAAAUCAUAACUCGUAAGGACCAAGCAAACUUACCAAGGCAAUAACCAAUGAGUUCUUUGAUGUAGUGACAAUUAUCUCUGUUUGGUUAUAUUUUGACUUACUUUAAACUUUCAUGAUAUACUAACACACAUUUAUUAUGAAUUUGGUGCGAACUUGUGAUUAGCUCGUACAUAUUAGUACACAUAGAAAUGGGAUCUUCCCCCACCCAAACUCAACCUUUGGCAAACUCGCCAUCUCAUGGUUCAAACUCAAACGGUUGUCAAAAAGGAGGUAGAUUUUCUGCCCUCCCACUUUCUAUGCCUUCUCGUGCCUUUUGAUUUGUGUGGUCACAGUUAAACCACGUCAACAUUUUAUAUUAUUUUUUUAUAAAAAUAAUAAGACAAAAUAUAAGGGCACGGGAAGUAAGAGAGCAGAUAAUCUGCCUCCUGUAAAAAAAUGAGGCGGAAUGAGAAUUUGUCAAUUUAAAAUAAAACAUCUUAAUCAAUUAACAUAACUUACGAUUGCAACUUUACGGUGAGUGAAAUAUCCAACGGUAGAAAAAGAGCUUUGUAAAAAUAGAUUGCCAAAAUUGAGAGAGAAUUUAUCAAACCAAAUUAAUUCAAUUACACACGUCAGGCUCCCGUACGGUUGCGGAAUAGUUUUUGAACUCCACGUGCCAUCGGUGGGGGUGACCACGUCUCUGGAGGGAGGGAGGUGGCCGAGAAUUUUUUUAUUAUGACCGAAGUACGGGUGGUACAUCACUUUUUUUUAUAUAAGUGGUGAUAAAUUUUAUUUUUUAAUUAUUAACAUUUUAACACAUACAUUUCACCAUUUAUACGAUGAUACGUAAUGCAUUAUCCCAUGUUCUGAUCAUAUUGAAAAAUCUUUUCUGCAUUCAUUCAUUCAUUCAUUCAUCCAAGUGGGACCCGCCGGUGAGGCGACGCAUCAUGAAUUUCCUGCUCUUUCGCAAAGUACCACGGCAAAAAGAGGGGUCUCUGAUUCUCUGAUAACAUGUCGAGUGGGCCAGGCCCACCAUUUCUCGGGCUACAAAGCCCAAGGCACUACCUCUUUCAAUCUCCCUUCUCCUCCGUGAAGGUGCUAACGUGCGCAGGGGGUAGUGGCGGUGGAUUAGAUAGAGUGUAAAAGCUGUAACAUUAGCGUCUUCUUCCCUUUUUAUGGUUGCCCACGCACGCGCAACAUACCACACGUGUGCACGCUCACAGUUACCUUGUUUGGCAAAAUGCCCUCACAGAAUCACAGGCUAAAGCUCUUGGCUCGAAAAUAAUACCUAUAGUUUAUUUAACGUUUAUUUACCAAGAAAAAAAAAUGUUUUAUUUUAUUUUAUGUCUGAAAUUUGCAAGAGUUUCUCGUGUGUGUCUUGAGCGACCGAGUAACAUAACAUAGAAGACUGUACUUGAGUAUUCUUUCUUAAGAGGAAAUGGGUUGAUCGUCCACGAGUGAGAGUGCCAUUUUUACCUAAUGAUGCCAAAGCAGAGAAGAAAAAUAAAAAAAAAUUAAACUAGCUCUUUCUUUUAUUUAAUUAUGAGAUUCAAACUCAUGAUCUUCUUUGACAAACGAACUUACAUUAGCAUUUUAUGGGCCUUCCUAAUCUGUUUGGCAUGUGAGCUUGUUAAAUGGUAGACCAUUGUCCUUAGAUAAGCAUUUUGUAAUUGUGUGUCGUGAUUGUAUUUAGAAAGCGCAUAUUUUUUAUAAGAACGCCGCUUAUGUUUCUACAUGUUCUUGAUAAGAAUGCCGAUUAUGUUUGUACAUGUUCGUGAUAAGAAUACUGCUUAUGUUUCUACAUGCUCUUGAUAAGACUAGUGCUUAUAAGAAAGCUGUUUAUGUUUAAACAUGUUGUUGAUAAGAAUGCCGCUUAUGUUCUUGACCUUCACGUAUAAGUUGAUGACAUUUCUUGGUCUUCUUGUAUUGUCUGGGAUACUUAUCCUUCAAUGACGUAACGUCUCUUUCAUAAAUUAAACUAAAAGAAAGAAAAAAAAAAGGAUAGAAGGAUGGAAAGCAACCCCUAAACUGUAGGUCAGAACCGACCAUGAAACACAAUCCAAAACACCGUUUUAGGGGCAAUUAAGUGCAAACUUAACAUAAUUAUAUUUUGUUAAACUUUGCAAACCUUGAAAGGUGACAAGCAUCUCUGGCAAUAAUUCAAAAGGUCAUAAAAAGAUAUGAAAGAAUCUUUGAACUGCAGUCCAAUUGGACACCAAACAAUAUGCUUAACCCAAGUUAACGUAAGAACAACGAACCUGAACGCCCUCUUUCCAAGAGAUUUACGCUUUCAAAUAUUCUCCCUUAAGACUUUGAGCUACCAAACUCAAAUAAUUAAACAAAAAGUUUAGCCAAAUUAAGAAACGCGGUGUACCUCUUAAAGAUUAAACCAAAAGGCUCUUACCUUGAGCAGAAAGCUGUUGAUUCCAAGCGAAAACUCUCCCGUUUCAUUGGCCAGCAAUCGUCAUCUCGAACAAGCAACUGCAUCUCUGCCAAGCAAGCACAUUCGAAUUCAGAUAUUCUUCCAACUUAUGCGUAUGGUAUAUGCAGAGUCAAAACUUGCCAAACAUUUGAAUGUAGAAACCACUAGACCCUAAAGCCUCCCUAAGGCAAGAAGCUUUCCUACUCUUCUUAGUCUAUCUCUAAGCUUUGUGUAUAAAAAGAAGUUAGCAACGAGAUCAAACUCAAAGUUGUCAUCGAGCGAAGCAGAUUAGUUGAAUACAGAUAGCAAAGAAAGAGAUGGGGGCACAAGACAAUAUGAUCAUGCCUAUAAUUAGCAAGAUGUACUGUUCGUCUUCUCAGACUGUGCUUGUCAUAAGGAGGAGGCCACACGUGAUAAACGGAGGUGGUUUUGUGGUUACGGAUUGUAGUCAGAAGGUUUCUUUCAAGGUUGAUGGAUGUGGAAUUCUGGGGAAAAAGGAUGAGAUGAUUCUGAGGGACAGUGAUGGAGAUGCCUUGCUUCUUAUUCGUCGAAAGGUAUACAUAUAUAUGUUCAAUUCAAAAAAUUCAAAAUAGAAUUUCAAUCAAGCAUGCAUCUAUAAGACAAAACAUGUUUCAGUUUGCAUUAUGGCAUGUACAUGAAGAGGUGUUAGGGAUGCUUAAUCAGUUUCCGCUCACUCAUAUUGAUUCGUAUAUGUACCAGGGUGCAAUGGUCGAGGCCCUAAGCAUUUAUCGGAAAUGGAAGGGGUAUAGUUUAGACUACGAAGGAUCACAGGAUCAGAUGGUUUUCUGUUUAAAACAGCCAAACUCGUGUUUGGCAACGACUCAAGCAAUCAGAAUCUCAACGAAAGCCACGAAAAACAAAGACUGGGACUUUGAGAUCAAGGGCUAUUUUCCUGAUAAGGAUUGUAGUAUUGUUGACUCUAAGGGCAACACAAUGGCACAGGUAAUUAAUUCCAAUUCAAGACGAACCUAUAAGACUUUCUUUCUUUGUAAAUUGCUUCUGAAAUGAUUAAGGUGGGGAUUUGUCGUUGGUUAAAUUGAAACACAGAUCGGGGUGAAGAAGGAAUUGAUGGCGAGCAAGGAUCUCUACCAUGUUGUGGUGACACCAGGCAUGGAUCAAGCUUUCAUCAUUGGAGUCAUUACGAUUCUUGACUACAUCUACGGUGAAUCCACCAGGUGCUAAAUUACUUCAGAUUCUAAAGAGAAGCUUUCCUUGAUUUCACGUCGAAACAUGAUAUCUGCUACUCUGCAGCAGAGUUCAAUUUUCUGAAUUUUGGAAGCUGCUAAUCCUUCAAUUUUCAUUUUUCAUGGAUUGUUUGAUGGAUAACGUUUUAGUUGUCCCAACCUGUACUAAGUUACUAACUGGGAACUCAUUUGUUAAAGCUUUUAGAAGGUAUUUUUUGCAACUCUCUGGUUUGUAAUUGGAGAUACAUUUUUACUUUUCCCAAAAGGAUGCACCACCAAUGUACUAAACCGUAGAUACAGAAUCCGUUUCAAUAUAAAUACACAAUGAAAAGUGAAAAUCAAUUCCACAAUGUAAAGGAGUUCUUACCCGACUUCGCCAUUUCAUAGAAUCUCAUGGAGGAGCCCUGCCGCUGCAGAAGCGUGAGCAUGUCAUUCCCGUUGAGUUGCCAAAAUGCGGAAUUUUAAACAAAGGAGACAUUUCUGAAAUGAAAUAUGUGUUCAACUACAACUAAUGGGAUGGGAAAUUUGAUUGCAAGAGAUUGAUAAAUGAUAAUAGUGCAAAAUUUAACAUCUUUGAUGGUAACCUACCGAGUACAGGUCAAGAUUUCUGUCCACGGACCUUCGGACCAUCUUCACAGGCAUCGGAAUGCGUCAGGAAAUCUAAACAUUAGCUCAGUUGCCUGAUUCAGUUAACCAAUUCAUAGUAAGCAGGAGAAAUGUUACGACAUUAUGCCAAGCAAGCAUUCUUGAACAACACACAUGGAAAACCAAUUAAUGAAAUAAGCAUCGCAACGUUCCAUCACCAAAUAGAGGUGUAAAACGACACAGAGAAAUAACAAUCUCAGAAAACCAUAAGGUUAUACAAGUUGGCAAACCGAAUUCGUGGAAACUAAAUCUCUUUUUCAUAUUAACAUGAAAUUUGUAGUACAUUAUCUGGGAUUAUAAUCUAGUAUCAGUUAACAAUGCUGACAGACGCAACUAACAGUAUCAACAUUCAUUCCAACUCAACACUGUACAAGACACAACAUUUUUAGUUACCAAUCCACGGCAUCUUCGUCAUAGAUCUACCACAGCACUCCCGUUGAGGUGCCUAGCCUGAGGGAGAGAAAUACCAAAUAGAUUGUUAUGAGGCCAAGUCCUAAGGUCUUGUUAAGGCGCAUGCCAUUCCUGGGUAGCACAACAAGUGACCAUAGAAGCCCUGAUAUUAGAAAUCCCAUUGUAUAAAACAAGCUGUUAUCUUUGGGAAUUUUGUACGGUACCGGCCUCUGAGACCAGGAUGCAAGCAGCAUUGAGAUCCCCAAACCAGCAAGUGUGUUAAACAUAGGUCCGGCAUAACAUCCUGACAUUGCAAUCUGUACACCAUCUCCACCAUUCAUUGCCAAUGCAACGUUUGACAUUAAAUCACCCAUUGAGUUUCCCCAUGCUAAUACAGUCAAUCCAAGGAUUGAUGGACUAAUUCCAAAAAUUACGCCAAAUGCCACCAGCAAGGCGACGAGCUCGUUUGCAACAAUGUAGAACCAGAUGAUGCUCAUAAAAAACCCUCCUAAAACCCACGGAAAUAAAAAUUUGCGAGGGGGCUGGUCCGGUCUGGUGUGUCGAUAUGCAAGAAUGCCAAAGACACCACUGCAGAGAAAGCCUAUAAAGUAGGCAAUUUCCUUGCUCAGAGAUCCGACAUCUUCUUGGGUGUUCCAUAAGAAUAACAGAAGAAUGGGAGCUAACACAGCACUGGCAACAGCAUAACCUUUGGACCACCUAUCCUCCUCGACUAUAGGGAUCGUCAACCGUCUUGGCAGUGUCAACGGAAUCUCCAGCAGUGAUAAAAAACUAAAAGAGGAAGAGUUUUCCUUCACUGUUUCAUCCUCGUUCCAACCCCACAAUGACCUUGGACUGUCUGAACCAGCCUUCACAUCGUGAUUCGAAUAAAUUGCCACAUUUGAAGCCCACAUCCACUGUGGCAACUUACUUUGGAGCUGAGGUACCUCGCUGUCUGAUUCAGACUCAAGGAGCGAAGCAUAUACAGAUUCCUCUUCAUCGCUUCCCUGAGAAAAUAUACUUCCCCUAACCGGUAGCAAUGGUGUUACAGCAUCUAACCUCAAUUUUCGAACAUGUUUCCUCAGAAGCUCGUUUGCAGCGACCACAAAUGCAUAAACCACGUAAAUCAAGACAAACGCUAUAGCACCCCAGACAGUAACCUCACCAACCAUCAACAUUAAGGCAAGAGACAUAACAGUAAAGAGGAAAAAACAUAUAUCUCUGAUAAAGCAUUUCUUAUCAAUCUGAAACCCCUUAUCCGCCACACAUAGAGAUAUAGUCCCAACAACAAUACAAGUAACGAAGACAGCUCCCCCCAACAC